rnacentral:rRNA from 1 species
CGUAGGAGGCGAGCGUUGUCCGGAAUUACUGGGCGUAAAGAGCGCGUAGGCGGCGCGGUACGCCCGCUGUGAAAGCCCCCAGCUCAACUGGGGAGGGUCAGCGGUAACGGCCGUGCUUUGAGUGCAGGAGAGGGAAGUGGAACUCCGGGAGUAGCGGUGAAAUGCGUAGAGACCCGGAGGAACACCAGUGGCGAAGGCGGCUUCCUGGUCUGCGACUGACGCUGUGGCGCGAAAGCUAGGGGAGCAAUCGGG